rnacentral:rRNA from 1 species
AGAGUUUGAUCAUGGCUCAGAAUGAACGCUGGCGGCGUGCUUUACACAUGCAAGUCGAGCGAGGCGGCCCGCAAGGGUCAGUCGAGCGGCGAACGGGUGAGUAACGCGUGGAUUAUCUACCCUGAGGUGGGGGAUAACCCGGGGAAACUCGGGCUAAUACCGCAUGAUACCGUGAGGUCAAAGGGGGCUCGCAAGGGCUCUCGCCAUAGGAGGAGUCCGCGUCCGAUUAGCUAGUUGGUAGGGUAAUGGCCUACCAAGGCGACGAUCGGUAGCCGGCCUGAGAGGGUGAUCGGCCACACUGGAACUGAGACACGGUCCAGACUCCUACGGGAGGCAGCAGUGGGGAAUUUUGCGCAAUGGGCUAACGCCUGACGCAGCAACGCCGCGUGGAGGAUGAAGGUCUUUGGAUUGUAAACUCCUGUCGACCGGGAAAAAGCAACUCGACCUAAUACGUCGGGGAGUUGAUUGUACCGGUGGAGGAAGCCCCGGCUAACUCUGUGCCAGCCGCCGCGGUAAUAC